UUGUUCAUCUUUCCAACAGCACUGUGGGAUGGAAACAUUCGUCUAAUCAAUGCAGAAAUCCUGGUCCGUACAGGAAGUGAAGGAGGAAACAUCACAGUUAAAUGCUCCUUCUCUUUCUCUGGAAGCAGGAAGAUCUUCUGUAAGAGAGAAUGUGAAGGAAAAGACAUUCUCAUUGAAACAAAUGAGAACAGAGCUCAGAGUGGCAGAUACAGCAUUGAAUAUAAAGAAGGAUUUUAUCCAAAAUAUCUUACACUUCUGAAUGUGAGCAUCACAAAUCUGACUAAGUCUGACUCGGGGCGGUACAGAUGUUGGUUGGACAGAACUUUGAUAGAUUCAACCGAGGACUUUGAGCUCAGAGUUGAAGAUGCUCCAACCGCUUCAAAACCAAAGAGGAAAACCACCACCAAAGCACCUUUUACACCAUCAGUCCCAUCAGCCUCCACACUGACAACAACACAGAGUUUAAGCUCCAGUUCAGGAAGCUCCACACCUUCAUCAUCCUCCCCUGAAACCACCAACCAGCCUGAACAGCAACAGAGAGCUGCAGGUCCAGGUUUACUGCUGUAUGUGAGUCUGACUCUGGUCGUCAUGAUCAUCGUAUUAUCAGCGGCUGUGCUAAUAUUCUGCAGGAAGAGGGCCAGUAAACCCAAAGAACCUCCUGUGGAAACUGAGUAUGCUAAUGUGACAGAGGCCAACAGAGUGUAUGAGGAGAUCGGAGAGGAGGACAGACAGAGCAGAUCUCCUCCUGCAGAAAUAUCUACAGUUUACACUUACGCCAAAUACUCCAAACCAAAUGCAGUUGAAACCACAGAUGAGUACAGCUUUGUCACUGCAGCCGGGUCUCCGAACAAAACUGAAGACGACCUGAGUAAACUCACCUACUCUGAGGUGGAUUUCUCCAACGGUGCAGCUGCCUCGCCCAACAGCGCCCUCUGUGGUGAUGCAGAUAACGUGGUCUACUCUGUGCCUCGGUCAGACGCGAGCUAG
rnacentral:lncRNA from 1 species